UCCUUUUUUUACCGCAGUUCUGAGCUAAGUGCAAAACUAGGCAUAGAGGACGAAAUAAAAGACGUGGGUUUUUAUCGCAGCCUUAUGCAUGCAGCAAAAAUAAUCAGUGCCAGAGCGUUUCAUACUUUUCUUUAAGUAUAAAUUAAGUAUUUUAAAUCUUUAUGAGCUGCGAAUUGCUGAGCACAAAAUCUUAAUGUAUUUACGUAACUGCCAAAUAGUAUUUUUCUAAAUAUGGUUUUGUUUUGGCUCGCUUGGUCCAUCAUCGUCGUUCUAAACGCUCGUGUUUCCAAAGGGCUGUCAAUCCCCUUCCCGGUCACUUUCGGAAGCCCUGGGGACAAUGUGACCAUCUACAGUAAUUUCAGAGCGAUUUACAGGUCUUUCUUGAGUGUUAGCUGGUACCGUGUGAAGCCGGAUGGAGGGAUGGAGCACAAAAUGUACUUCAGCUCUUAUAGCUCCCAGUACGGCCGGUACAGAGGAACACUGCCCCAGAACUCCCCCAAUGUCAGUCUGACAAUCUACAAUGUGACAGCAGAAGAUUCUGGCCAAUACUUCCCAGUGGUGCUCAACAGCAUGAGAUUCUCACCUGGGACCAUGGCAGUUCUGUCCAUAACAGAUCGCAAGGAAAAACCAACUCUCCGUGUGUUUGUGAGUCAAAAGUCAGACAACAGGACAGAUAUUCUCUGCGAACUGAGAGGACAAGGGCCGGACCGGACAGGCCCCGAGUGGGAAACAGAGGGCAUUUCUGGAGCAGAAAUCAAAACGGGAGAAGCCAUAGAUUACAGUGGUGUAUUUACCAGAAUAUCCAUCCUCUCUGUUUCCUCGAAUAGCGGGCCUCUUACUGUAACAUGUGUAAAUCAAAAAAACACGCCCACGAUCAGAAGAAGUAUAAUAAUCCGGCAGAAAGAUGAUGUCUUUUCCUGGCUGCUGUACCUGUUUCCUCUGUGUUCAGUGCUGAUUCUAGCAACCAUAAUUAGUGCGGUGCAGGUCUGCUGGAGAAAUUGAGCACACACAUUAUUGAUUCCUCAUGAGAUGCUGCAACUGAAGGAAACGUAGACAUGAACUUGAUCUCUUCUGAAGCAUUUAUGUCUCAGUUUUCUGUUUUUAAGAACCAUUUUAUGUUCUGUAAUGAAUGAUUGUCAUAUAAAGAUAUUCAGUGAGUUUUAAGUUCUCUGGCUCUGGAUCUCAAGGAGCUGCAGAACACGGUGUUGUAGCUGGAGAUGCUGGUACACGAAGCAGCUACUAAAAAUUUGUAUUGAAAAUUAAAUCAGUUGUGAAUGUAUUUUAGUAGAACUGUACUUCAUAUAAAGAAUAAUCUGAUUAAUCAUAUUUAGUGUUUUGUCGGUUUUUAAGAUUUGUACUUAUUUAAUUAAUUGAUUUUUGCUUUAAAUUAUAAGCCACACCA
rnacentral:lncRNA from 1 species